UACCAGCACCCCGAGUGGUCGGGACGAUUAUUGGGCCUAAAGCAUCCGUAGCCGGUUCUACAAGUCUUCCGUUAAAUCCACCUGCUUAACAGAUGGGCUGCGGAGGAUACUAUAGAGCUAGGAGGCGGGAGAGGCAAGCGGUACUUAGUGGGUAGGGGUAAAAUCCGUUGAUCCAUUGAAGACCACCAGUGGCGAAGGCGGCUUGCCAGAACGCACUCGACGGUGAGGGAUGAAAGCU
rnacentral:rRNA from 1 species